GACAGAGGCCUCAAGCGUUAGGCGGAAUCACUGGGCUUAAAGCAUCCGUAGCCGGUUCUACAAGUCUUCCGUUAAAUCCAACUGCUUAACAGGUGGGCUGCGGAAGAUACUAUAGAGCUAGGAGGCGGGAGAGGCAAGCGGUACUCGAUGGGUAGGGGUAAAAUCCGUUGAUCCAUUGAAGACCACCAGUGGCGAAGGCGGCUCGCCAGAACGCGCUCGACGGUGAGGGAUGAAAGCUGGGGGAGCAAACCGG
rnacentral:rRNA from 1 species